rnacentral:rRNA from 1 species
CCUACGUGUGGCAGCAGUGGGGAAUAUUGGACAAUGGGCGAAAGCCUGAUCCAGCCAUGCCGCGUGUGUGAAGAAGGCCUUCGGGUUGUAAAGCACUUUCAGUGGGGAAGAAAGCCUUGGGGCUAAUACCCUCGAGGAAGGACAUCACCCACAGAAGAAGCACCGGCUAACUCCGUGCCAGCAGCCGCGGUAAUACGGAGGGUGCGAGCGUUAAUCGGAAUUACUGGGCGUAAAGCGCGCGUAGGCGGUCUGAUAAGCCGGUUGUGAAAGCCCCGGGCUCAACCUGGGAACGGCAUCCGGAACUGUCAGGCUAGAGGGCAGGAGAGGAAGGUAGAAUUCCCGGUGUAGCGGUGAAAUGCGUAGAGAUCGGGAGGAAUACCAGUGGCGAAGGCGGCCUUCUGGACUGACACUGACGCUGAGGUGCGAAAGCGUGGGUAGCAAACAGGAUUAGAUACCCCGGUAGUC